AAGCAAUGUUUUCUGAAAUUAUUGUUUUUCUAUGCGCCUUUAUUAAAACCCACUGCACUCUUCUUCAUCUUCAUCCAUCACUACUGCGUUCGAUAUCACUUGAUUCGUGUGAUACAUAUACAUAGAGAUGGCGUCAAUUCAUGUCGCGAAUUUUACAUCUGUUAUGCCUAAAAAUGUCAACAAUUCUGGACUCUCAAAGAUUUCAAAGACAGUUUUCUUGCCUGUUUUCGAUGUGAAUGCCAAUACUGCUAACUUACGCAAGAAGGAAGCACAUCCAUCACGCAUCAAGGUGCCUCGGGCCACAUUGACCUUUGACCCGCCGUCAACCAAUGUAGAAAAGACUAAGCAAAGGAAGAACACAGUUGACCCAUCUGCACCUGAUUUUCUUCCACUUCCAUCUUUUGAACAAUGUUUCCCACAAAGCACAAAGGAAUACAGGGAAGUAGUUCAUGAGGAAUCUGGUAACGUUCUUAGAGUUCCAUUUCGACGUGUCCACCUGGCAGGGGACGAACCACAUUUUGAUACUUAUGACACAAGCGGUCCACAAAACAUAAGCCCAAAAGUCGGACUCCCGAAAUUACGCAAGGAUUGGAUAGACAGGAGGGAAAGAUCAACCCCACCAAGAUACACCCAAAUGUACUACGCGAAGCAAGGGAUCAUAACCGAAGAAAUGGUCUACUGUGCGACCCGCGAGAAUCUGGACCCUGAAUUCGUGAGAUCCGAAGUCGCACGUGGUCGUGCAAUCAUUCCUUCAAACAAAAAACAUCUAGAACUUGAACCUAUGAUUGUUGGAAGAAACUUCUUGGUCAAAGUCAACGCAAACAUAGGUAACUCAGCUGUUGUAAGUUCAAUAGAAGAAGAAGUCAGCAAACUUCAAUGGGCCACAAUGUGGGGAGCGGAUACUAUCAUGGAUCUAUCCACGGGUCGACACAUUCAUGAAACCCGUGAAUGGAUCCUCCGUAACUCGUCGGUUCCGGUUGGGACCGUACCCAUUUACCAAGCCUUAGAAAAAGUCAACGGCAUUGCUGAGAAUUUGACUUGGGAGGUGUUUCGUGAGACAUUGAUCGAACAGGCGGAACAAGGGGUCGAUUAUUUCACGAUUCAUGCGGGUGUUUUGUUGCGGUAUAUCCCCUUAACGGCUAAGCGGAUGACAGGGAUUGUUUCUAGGGGCGGGUCGAUUCAUGCGAAAUGGUGUUUGGCUUACCAUAAGGAGAAUUUUGCUUAUGAUCAUUGGGAUGAUAUUCUUGAUAUUUGUAACCAGUAUGAUAUUGCUUUGUCUAUUGGUGAUGGGUUGAGGCCCGGAUCGAUUUAUGAUGCUAAUGAUACGGCUCAGUUUGCUGAGUUGUUGACUCAAGGCGAGUUGACCCGAAGAGCUUGGGAGAAGGACGUACAGGUCAUGAACGAAGGUCCGGGCCAUAUCCCAAUGCACAAAAUCCCUGAAAACAUGCAAAAGCAGCUCGAAUGGUGCAACGAAGCACCAUUCUACACGCUUGGACCCUUAACCACCGAUAUCGCACCAGGGUAUGAUCACAUAACCUCAGCCAUUGGUGCAGCCAACAUUGGAGCCUUAGGAACUGCACUCCUAUGUUACGUCACACCAAAAGAACACCUUGGUCUACCCAACCGUGACGAUGUCAAAACUGGCGUUAUAUCAUACAAAAUAGCGGCUCAUGCAGCCGACUUAGCCAAAGGUCACCCACAUGCUCAAGCUUGGGAUGAUGCACUUAGCAAAGCCCGGUUCGAGUUCAGGUGGUUAGACCAGUUUGCUUUGUCGUUGGACCCGAUGACCGCCACAUCAUUCCAUGAUGAAACGUUACCAUCCGAUGGCGCAAAAGUGGCCCAUUUCUGUUCCAUGUGUGGGCCUAAGUUUUGUUCAAUGAAGAUAACUGAAGAUGUGAGGAAAUAUGCUGAAGAACAUGGGUAUGGGAGUGCUGAAGAGGCGGUUCAACAAGGGAUGGAUGCGAUGAGUGCUGCGUUUCAGGCGGCUAAAAAGACCGUUAGUGGUGAACAGCAUGGCGAGGCUGGCGGUGAAAUUUACUUGCCGGAAGCCUACAUCAAUGCUGUGAAGAAAUAAAGGGCGUAUGUGAACAUGAAAGACCGCCUUGGAGUACGUGCAAGAUCGGCCUAGCAUGGACCGAGGUUCAAAACCCUCACUUUCAAGAUGUAGCACCGCCCGUUUCGGGCAGAGAUGCUGGCGGCACUUUCAGGCUGAGAAAGUCCCUUAGAACCUGAACAGGAUAAUACCUGCGUAGGGAGAGUGCUUUUUUUUUGUUGCUUUCUGUAGUUGCGCAAGGACGAUGAUCUCGUGCUUUGGUGUCUCGUUGUUGGCCAAGUGAUUACGAAUUGCAAUUCGGUUUAUUUGAUGAGGUUGGUCGUUCUUAUGAAUCGAAAACGAUAUCUAGUUCUUCUUUUGUCAUUGAAGUGGCUAAUGAAUGUUCAUUUAUGAAAAAGACUCGUCCUCAAAACGGACACUAGAGAGUUGAUUA